rnacentral:lncRNA from 1 species
CCCUGCUCCCACAAAAUGGUAGCCGCCGUGGGGGAUGUCCAGUUUUUUUUCCUCUUCCCAAGUACAGACGCAGAGCAGACUUGUCUUUCCGCUUAACCUCAACCUCGUGUGAUCUGCCAGUUUCGCUCCCGACGCCAAAUUCCAGCGAAACAGCUGAUGCCAGCCAGCUUGAAGACCCCUGCCACAGAAGAAGGGAAUCAGCAUGAGAAUACAGCUUCUUCAUCUCGCUGUCCCAUGACUUCGCCCUGUACUCUUCAGCCAAUUAAUGAUCUCCACACUUGGGACCACUCUAAAACCCUUAAGAACCUGAGACUCAAAGUCCUCCUGGAGACGAAUUUGAGGUUUCCUCCUAUCUGUGUUUGGUGGCCCUAUGAUUAAACCUCUUUCUCUUCUGCAACCUGGUGUCCCAGUGUAUUAACUUGCCAUGGGCAUCAGACAACAAACCUAUAUAUAGUAUCCCAAAUAUGGUGCUCCACUUUGAAACCUGAAGAAAUCCUGCAAUUGAGUUAGCCUUUUGAAAUAAAAAUUAUUUCAAAUUUUA